rnacentral:rRNA from 1 species
UACGGGGGGGGCAAGCGUUGUUCGGAAUUACUGGGCGUAAAGGGCUCGUAGGCGGCCAACUAAGUCAGACGUGAAAUCCCUCGGCUUAACCGGGGAACUGCGUCUGAUACUGGAUGGCUUGAGGUUGGGAGAGGGAUGCGGAAUUCCAGGUGUAGCGGUGAAAUUCGUAGAUAUCGGGAGGAACACCCGUGGCGAAGGCGACCAUCUGGAAGAUUACUGACGCUGAGACGCGAAAGCGUGGGGAGCAAACAGG